rnacentral:rRNA from 1 species
GACGAACGCUGGCGGCGUGCUUAACACAUGCAAGUCGAACGGAAAGGCCCUGCUUUUGUGGGGUGCUCGAGUGGCGAACGGGUGAGUAACACGUGAGUAACCUGCCCUUGACUUUGGGAUAACUUCAGGAAACUGGGGCUAAUACCGGAUAGGAGCUCCUGCUGCAUGGUGGGGGUUGGAAAGUUUCGGCGGUUGGGGAUGGACUCGCGGCUUACCAGCUUGUUGGUGGGGUAGUGGCUUACCAAGGCUUUGACGGGUAGCCGGCCUGAGAGGGUGACCGGCCACAUUGGGACUGAGAUACGGCCCAGACUCCUACGGGAGGCAGCAGUGGGGAAUAUUGCACAAUGGGCGGAAGCCUGAUGCAGCAACGCCGCGUGCGGGAUGACGGCCUUCGGGUUGUAAACCGCUUUCGCCUGUGACGAAGCGUGAGUGACGGUAAUGGGUAAAGAAGUACCGGCUAACUACGUGCCAGCCGCCGCCGUAAAAC